rnacentral:rRNA from 1 species
UACGGAGGGGGCUAGCGUUGUUCGGAUUUACUGGGCGUAAAGGGCGCGUAGGCGGCCACCGCAAGUCAGUUGUGAAAUCUCUGGGCUUAACCCAGAAAGGUCAACUGAUACUGCGGGGCUAGAGUGCAGAAGGGGCAACUGGAAUUCUCGGUGUAGCGGUGAAAUGCGUAGAUAUCGAGAGGAACACCGGUGGCGAAGGCGGGUCUCUGGGCAUCUCCUGACGCUGAGGCGCGAAAGCGUGGGGAGCAAACGGG